GUUCAUUUGCAGUGUGGUUUGCUUGUGAAACGUACGCUGGAAAUAGUUACAAAAUAAAAAGUCGCUACAUUUCCCAUAGUUCAUUGAAAAUUUCGUAUGUAGCUUAUGUGCAAGGUGGAUUUAUUAUGUGUGAAUUAAUUUGACACGGGCAUGCAUAAGGUGAAAUUGAAUGUAGAGAGUGAAGUUUGGACGUGGAAAAGUUUAAAAUAGAGAAACAUAACGCAAAAAAACUUCGAAACAAGGGCAAAAUUAAAGUCUCACUGCGUACAGAAAGUAACGAUAUUGAUGGCUAUCAGAAAUCCACCUUGGCUGCUAAUGACUUUGAUGACUUCAUACUAAAUACUGUGGAGAUGCGCAUACC